rnacentral:lncRNA from 1 species
GUAACUGCCUAGCAAAGCAAAGAAGGGAACUGUAUCUAUGGGACACAGUGGGAAGCACAACGAGGGACAUCACAAUCCUGCAGAGCCACGUUGUCUGUCCCACCACGUGCUGUGGGUCAGUAGGUGCUGGUGGAGCAUUCCUGCUGUGUGCCAGGCCCUGCUAUGGGCAGGAUGCUGCUCCAGGUUGCCUGGCUUCCAUCCUCUCCUAGCAGCCAAAGUGGCACUGCUGCUUGUAAUGACACGGCAUCGGAAAUCCCCAACAUGCAAUUGCAUGAGAAGGUCACAGCUCAGUCAGAGCAGCGCAUUAAACAUUAAACGCUCCAUUUGUACGCACUUGUGGCCUCAUGCCAAGAUGAAUUCGAAAUGAUUAAAUCUCCAGCCGUGUCGACUUCUUUCACAGCAACAUAAAACACUUUGCUCUGCUAGACAACACAGGACUAUGUGCUAAGGACUCACGCUCUGAGCCUCGUGCAUCUCAGCGAUAGGCCAUUUAUGAGCACCUCAGGCUGGCAGGCACACCGGGGGUUCCAGGGGCCUCCACAGCUGCCAGGGUGACGUGCUGAGCAGCAGUCGUUCAUCUCACCUCUGCCGUUCAUCUCUGAGUGAGUCAAAGGCAACUGGAAGGCAGAGAAGCAGAUAACCAACUGUUGACCACAUCGUAAAUCCAGCGACACGGCGACAACAGGGUUUAGUUGGCUCACGCAGGAAACGUAAAUGAAACUGCAGAACUCAGAUUCAGUGGUUGCUGGGAAGGAAAUCUCUUUUGGUAGCUUGCACCUGCUGGAUAUAAAAGGAAAGGGACUGGAUUUCUCAAUUUUGCAGGAGUCUAUUUUUUUCCUCAGAAGGCAGUAUAUUUAUAACUCUAGUAAAACUGCAAAAAAAUGGUAAAUAACGAGAGCUUUACAAGAGGGAGAAAUUGAUUUCUGGAUCUGAUCAGAGCAAAGCUCUUAAUCUUUGCUCCUCUUUAAUAGAACUGCUGCCUCUGCAUGCCCAGGCUGUAACGUUUCAGUCUGUCCAUUAGUCUCAUAUGGAAAACUGCCAGAAAGGGGAGAGAAUCUUUUUCUUUCUUUUUUUUUUUUUUUCUCUCUCUGUCUCUUCUUGAUUAAAAGAAUGAGAUUUGGGUCAAUCGUUCUUUGCUUUUUGAGCUCCUCAGGUGACAGGAGCAAGUGCAGGCUUUGUGACUCCAUAACAUAGCACUGAUAGGAGCACUGCUAAGAGAGCAGGGUGACCCCAUAGGUCCAGCCCUUGCCCUUCCCAGUGAUUUGCUCAGUUCACUCAGUCAGCCACCAGCUGCCUGCCCAGCUAUUGCUGCUAUGCCCGUAUGCCUCCAAUGGAUGAGGUUCACCACCCAAACAGCAAACCUAACC